rnacentral:rRNA from 1 species
AUUGAACGCUGGCGGCAGGCCUAACACAUGCAAGUCGAACGGUAACAGGAAGCAGCUUGCUGCUUUGCUGACGAGUGGCGGACGGGUGAGUAAUGUCUGGGAAACUGCCCGAUGGAGGGGGAUAACUACUGGAAACGGUAGCUAAUACCGCAUAACGUCGCAAGACCAAAGAGGGGGACCUUAGGGCCUCUUGCCAUCGGAUGUGCCCAGAUGGGAUUAGCUAGUAGGUGGGGUAACGGCUCACCUAGGCGACGAUCCCUAGCUGGUCUGAGAGGAUGACCAGCCACACUGGAACUGAGACACGGUCCAGACUCCUACGGGAGGCAGCAGUGGGGAAUAUGGCACAAUGGGCGCAAGCCUGAUGCAGCCAUGCCGCGUGUAUGAAGAAGGCCUUCGGGUUGUAAAGUACUUUCAGCGGGGAGGAAGGGAGUAAAGUUAAUACCUUUGCUCAUUGACGUUACCCGCAGAAGAAGCACCGGCUAACUCCGU